CGUCUGGGCCUGGAGCUGGGCUUUCUUCCUGCAGAGCUGCCUGGAAAGGAGGGGAGGCAGGAUGGAAACGCCUGUUGUGGAGAUGCCCCUGGGAACAUGCCAGGCACCCUCAGCUUCCGGCCCCGUGGUGUCAAUUCCAAGGAGCCCCUUGACAAAGCUCCGCGGCCGAGUUCUCUUAGAUGAGCUUUGGUUCUGAGCCAAUUUAUGUCAUGGUACAGCUCGAUGGCCUUCUCCCUGGGCUGCUGCAGAAGACACACACGCUGUGCAGCCCCAAGGGCAGCAGGGUCCUUCCUCCUCAAAGCCCCGAACGGAAG